UUUCGGAUCGCGGCGACGCCGGUGGUUCGCCGCCGGUGACGUUGUGAGAAGUUCAUUAAACCUUAUCAUUUAGAGGAAGGAGAAGUCGUAACAAGGUUUCCGUAGGUGAACCUGCGGAAGGAUCAUUG
rnacentral:rRNA from 1 species